GAGUUUGAUCCUGGCUCAGGACGAACGCUGGCGGCGUGCCUAACACAUGCAAGUCGAGCGAUGAAACCCUUCGGGGUGGAUUAGCGGCGGACGGGUGAGUAACACGUGGGUAACCCGCCUCAAAGAGGGGAAUAGCCUUCCGAAAGGAAGAUUAAUACCGCAUAAUAUGUUUUGAUCGCAUGAUCUUAACAUCAAAGGAGUAAUCCGCUUUGAGAUGGACCCGCGGCGCAUUAGCUAGUUGGUGAGGUAACGGCUCACCAAGGCGACGAUGCGUAGCCGACCUGAGAGGGUGAUCGGCCACAUUGGAACUGAGACACGGUCCAAACUCCUACGGGAGGCAGCAGUGGGGAAUAUUGCGCAAUGGGGGAAACCCUGACGCAGCAACGCCGCGUGAAUGAUGAAGGCCUUCGGGUUGUAAAGUUCUGUCUUCUGGGACGAUAAUGACGGUACCAGAGGAGGAAGCCACGGCUAACUACGUGCCAGCAGCCGCGGUAAUACGUAGGUGGCAAGCGUUGUCCGGAUUUACUGGGCGUAAAGGAUGCGUAGGCGGACAUUUAAGUCAGAUGUGAAAUACCCGAGCUUAACUUGGGUGCUGCAUUUGAAACUGGGUGUCUAGAGUGCAGGAGAGGUAAGUGGAAUUCCUAGUGUAGCGGUGAAAUGCGUAG
rnacentral:rRNA from 1 species